rnacentral:rRNA from 1 species
AUACGAAGGUCCCGAGCGUUGCGCGGAAUUAUUGGGCUUAAAGCGUGCGUAGGCGGACUCGUAAGCACUUUGUGAAAUCCCUCGGCUCAACCGAGGAACUGCUUGGUGAACUGCGAGUCUUGAGACAAGUAGGGGCUGUCGGAACGAUAGGUGGAGCGGUGAAAUGCGUUGAUAUCUAUCGGAACGCCAAAGGCGAAGGCAGGCAGCUGGGCUUGUUCUGACGCUCAGGCACGAAAGCGUGGGGAGCGAACGGGAUUAGAAACCCCAGUAGUCC